GGAGUCCAUCUUUUUCUCUCAUCGUCUCACGCUUUCAGGCCCUCGGCUCUCCGCCUCGACUUUCGGCAGACUGCAGCCGGCUAUUCACUCUCACAGUCUCUCGAUUCACUCGAAGAAUCCCCCGCCUCUGAAUCUAGCCGCAGCACAGAAGCAAGAAGCAAAGCGUUGCCUGCCCCUCAACCUUGCCGCUGCACGGAAGCAAUUUGCUGCCCCUCAUCCUUCCCGCAUCACAGAAGCAAUCCAUCAGGAACAAGUAAACCAAAACACCAAGGAAAAUGGAUGCUGGUCUGAAUGGAGAUUCUAUGGAAAAGCUUAAGGGUGUGCAAAUUACCUCUCUUGAUGAUGAUGAUGAUGAUGAUUUUGAAGGACAAGAAAAUGAAGAAGAACAAGAACCAACUCUUGAAGAAGAAGAAGACGAUGAUGAUGACGAAGAAGAAGAACCAGUAACCCUAGGUUUUGUGGAGAAGCCUAAACAUUCUUGGUCUCUUCUUCGGCAAUUAUUUCCUAGCAAGGCUGGUGGUGUGCCGGCAUGGUUAGAUCCAGUCAAUGUACCAUCUGGAAGGUCCUGUGCUUGUGACAUAUGUGGAAAUCCCCANNNNNNNNNNNNNGCACCAAUAUCUGAGAAGGAAUCAACAUUUCAUCGAACAUUAUUCUUAUUUAUGUGCCCCA
rnacentral:misc_RNA from 1 species